GACGAACGCUGGCGGCGUGCCUAAUACAUGCAAGUCGAGCGGACAGAAGGGAGCUUGCUCCCGGAAGUUAGCGGCGGACGGGUGAGUAACACGUGGGCAACCUACCCUGUAGAUCGGGAUAACAUCGAGAAAUCGGUGCUAAUACCGGAUAAUCAUUUGAAGUGCAUGCUUCGAAUGUAAAAGAUGGCUCCGGCUAUCACUACGGGAUGGGCCCGCGGCGCAUUAGCUAGUUGGUAAGGUAAUGGCUUACCAAGGCAACGAUGCGUAGCCGACCUGGGAGGGUGAUCGGCCAAACUGGGACUGAGACACGGCCCAGACUCCUACGGGAGGCAGCAGUAGGGAAUCUUCCGCAAUGGACGAAAGUCUGACGGAGCAACGCCGCGUGAGUGAUGAAGGUUUUCGGAUCGUAAAGCUCUGUUGCUAGGGAAGAACAAGUGCCGUUUGAAUAAGGCGGCACCUUGACGGUACCUAACCAGAAAGCCACGGCUAACUACGUGCCAGCCGCCGCCGUAAUAC
rnacentral:rRNA from 1 species